UUAUUUCCCUUAACCUAGGUCUACCUCCUUAAAUAGCACCUAAAUUGAUCUUGCACCCUGUGAGGUAAAAACUAACACUUGUAUAUAUGCCAGAGAUGGAGUAUGCACAAUAUACAUAUAUGUUCAGCUGUAAAAUUAUAGGCAAGUAGGUCAACAGAAAACACACAAGUUUGUAUGAUCUUAGCAUCCAUAUACUAAGUCUAAGCUAAGCUGAGCAAGAAAAUUUGUACAACAAAUGAAGUAUGUUUAAAGCUUA
rnacentral:lncRNA from 1 species